AUUGAACGCUAGCGGCAGGCCUAACACAUGCAAGUCGAACGAGUGGCGGACGGGUGAGUAAUGUCUGGGAAACUGCCUGAUGGAGGGGGAUAACUACUGGAAACGGUAGCUAAUACCGCAUACCAUCGGAUGUGCCCAGAUGGGAUUAGCUAGUAGGUGGGGUAACGGCUCACCUAGGCGACGAUCCCUAGCUGGUCUGAGAGGAUGACCAGCCACACUGGAACUGAGACACGGUCCAGACUCCUACGGGAGGCAGCAGUGGGGAAUUUUGGACAAUGGGGGCAAGCCUGAUGCAGCCAUCCCGCGUGUAUGAAGAAGGCCUUCGGGUUGUAAAGUACUUUUAGCGGGGAGGCGUUAUCUGCAGAAGAAGCACCGGCUAACUCCGUGCCAGCAGCCGCGGUAAUAC
rnacentral:rRNA from 1 species